GCCAACGCCUCUACAACAACCAUGUUGUAGACACUAAAGGGGGUCUGUGCAGGGUCUUUGAUGCAGCUGAUGAGGAGUGUACAUUAAAUGGGUUAGUAGAAUAGAAUGAAUAGAAAUGACAUCAUGGAACUGACCAAAUGGAACUUUGACCUGUUCCAUGUAGAACUCAGAGGGACAAGGCAACACAUUCUAAGAUAUUAUAAACAUUCCAUAUAGAAUACUCAACAUAUUGUUAACAUGGUGCUGUAUUUAAAUGAAAGUGGAAAUGGGGGACAUUUUGUCCAUUAUAGAAAUGUAGGACCCAUUUUAAUACAUUAACUUCCCUUAUCUGAUGUGCUGGUCUCGUCGUCAUGCAUGUUAAUGACUUAAAGAGGAAGGAAAGGACAGUUCUGUCUCAGCAUAUGUAUCAACCACAGAACUCACACUUACUAGCAGUUGCCACUCACUACCAGUCAGUUGACUCACUGUACAGGACCUCUCCCCUUCAGUCUACUGCAGGGUUGGAGAUGCAACAAUGGUCUUGAGAACAGCAGGUGGUCGUCUUUCUCUGGUGGUCUUUCUCUGGUCUGUAGCAGUGGUACUGAGUCAGAAUGGCUGGAGUGUUACUUACACCACUCAGAGUAUCUGUACCUUGAAGGGGUCAUCAGUGGAGAUGUCCUGCUCUUACACAUAUCCCAGUUGGCAUAAAGUCACAACAACCUUCUGGUUCAUCAAAAAGUAUGAUGUGGAGAAUUAUGUAAAUCUGAGAAAGGACCCAGACCACAAAGGUCGUGUGACGUACCGUAGUGAUAAGAUGAAUGGAAACACCCUGACAAUCACAGACCUGAGAGAAAGUGACUCAGCUACGUACAAGUUCAGAUUCAUAACAGAUCAGACUGGAGGGAAAUAUACUGGUGAUCCUGGAGUCACUCUGUCUGUUACAGGUACAGUGAUAUUAUAUAUAGUGUUGAUCUGUUUAAUCACUCUGUCUGUUACAGGUACAGUGAUAUUAUAUAUAGUGUUGAUCU